GGUUCUAAAGUGUUCUAAGCACAUUUAAUUGCAAAUUAAAAAGUACUAACCAUUAAACCCUAGUUAGAACCU
rnacentral:tRNA from 1 species